rnacentral:lncRNA from 1 species
GGAGCAUGGAGAGAGAGAGGCGACGGUGGUGUGGCAAGAGGUCAGCCGUGGUAGCCAAGGCAGACUGGAAUCAAAGCUAAGCCCAGCUGCUGGCUAGCAAGGCAGCCCUGAGCCUCAGUUUCUUCAGCUGUGAAACGUUGGUGUUCACCACCUUCUUCCCUGCAUCACCCACCCACCACCCGCACCCCCAGCAGCUACACACACUGAGGACACGGAAUUCCCUGUCCCCUGCGGAGACCUACAGUUGGCUGAGAAUGCUGCAUGGCUUGCCAAGUGGUGCCAUGUCCACUCCUGGGAUCCGAAGCGGCGAACCCUGGGCCACCGAGAAGCGGAAUGUGCGCACUUAACCGCUGCGCCACCGGGCCGGCGCCACUUGUAUGCUGUUUCAAAGGCAACUUUCCUAAAAGGUUGUCAAUUUUCAUAAAGAUCAAGAAUCCUAGUAAGCCUUCUCAAUGAGUUCAAGAAGAUUUAAUUUCAUUUGCCACUGUUUUCCCAUGAAGGAUAUUUAAGAGUA